CAGCAGCCGCGGGAAUACAGAGGGUGCGAGCGUUAAUCGGAAUUACUGGGCGUAAAGCGUGCGCAGGCGGUUAUAUAAGACAGAUGUGAAAUCCCCGGGCUCAACCUGGGAACUGCAUUUGUGACUGUAUAGCUAGAGUACGGCAGAGGGGGAUGGAAUUCCGCGUGUAGCAGUGAAAUGCGUAGAUAUGCGGAGGAACACCGAUGGCGAAGGCAAUCCCCUGGGCCUGUACUGACGCUCAUGCACGAAAGCGUGGGGAGCAAACAGGAUUAGAUACCCGUGUAGUCCCUGUCUCUUAUAC
rnacentral:rRNA from 1 species